rnacentral:rRNA from 1 species
UGAGCAAUCUGCCCUUCACAUCGGAAUAACCAUUGGAAACGAUGGCUAAUACCGAAUACGACUUCGGAUCGCAUGAUCUGAAGUGGAAAGCUCCGGCGGUGAAGGAUGAGCUCGCGGCCUAUCAGCUUGUUGGUGAGGUAAUAGCUCACCAAGGCGAUGACGGGUAGCCGGCCUGAGAGGGUGACCGGCCACACUGGGACUGAGACACGGCCCAGACUCCG